UAGAAUGCUCACUUCUCUGGUCCCAGACUCACUUCUCAAUCUGCUAAUUUACUUUGGUAUCAGGAAUACUCCAGUUUACAACCUGAAAAGAUGGCACAAGAACUGGAAUACACAGUAAGAGAGAACGAGAGAGAGAGAGCACAUGAGAGUGGGGAGGGUCAGAGGCAGAAGCAGGCUCCCCGCCGAGCAGGGAGCCCGAUGCAGGACUCGAUCCCAGGACUCCAGGAUCAUGACCUGAGCCGAAGGCAGUCGCUUAACCAACUGAGCCACCCAGGUGCCCGUCAGCUUGACCAUGUUUUAAUUACAUGUUAAUUCAAGGAAUUUAUGUACUUAUUACUUUAACCUAAAUGGAUUAAUUGACAGGUAAUAACUCAGAUGCCUCUUCAGCAGUAUCUAAUAAUUCCUUUUACAUUGUAAAUGCUCAAUAAAUAAAUAUUUGAAUGAUAAUUUAUCAGUCUUUAGAAUUAUUGGCAUAUACAGUUUUGUCAUAUUUUUAACCUCAGAAAUCCUAGUUUUGUCAUUAGCUUAAAGUUUGUUCAUAUACAAUAAAUAGUAACAUUAGCAAAUCUGUAGUCAUUUGAAUGCUAAACCUGCUGUGAAUUUUUCAGUUGCUGCCUCUACAGUGAGAAAGUUCUCAUACCGUUGUACUGUUUCUUAAAUAUAGGGGAGACCAUGGAGUCAUC